GUUUUUCUUUUUGUGUUGCGGUUGCAUGGGUUUUGUCCCCCGCUUUUUUCAACCAAAAAAAUGCCGAGUGUUGCCGAGUGUUGCCGAGUCUUACUCAAACAACCAAAGAGUCAUCGGAGACACUAUCAGCAACUUUCCCGGCCGCCAUGGAAUCAACUGACCACGUUAACCCAUGGUAGAUCCGCCAUUCCCGACCACAGGCGUAACCCGCGUGAAUGUUGUGAACUAUACACAAAUUGGAGGACUUUUGCAGCCAUUGCUUGUGACACAUCCAUCUGCUACCAAAAUGCAGCAGGGCAUGAUAGUAAAUUACAUAAGUUUGAAAACUUUCGAAAAACUUAAGAAAGCUCUUAUGUAACAGAUCAUCAGUGAGCUUCUUCUCUCAAAAAGACGUGAAGUGGGCUCAAAACAUACGUCAGAGCACACUACUCUAGAAAACAUGUCCUCUUAGUCCUCAGCUCGGAUCUAUCAACGUGAGCACUACAUCUGUAAUCCGUACACCAAGCAAUAUUGGAUUGCUCUUCCUAUUCCUUCUGGAUUUUACGUGAGUGUACGAGCAGAGUUAAUAUGCAGUCUAUAUGACGCCAGUGUUGCUCGCAAUGAGAUGUUGUAUUGGUGGGGGCAAAGAUUUUAUCCAUACUCCAACAAUAAUGCUAGUACUUCCUCUACUACUACCAUGAACAAAGCUAUGAACGGAUCAAAAUGGUCCCAGGCCUACCUAAUAGUUUUUCACACAGAAAAACUAGAGUUAUCAUUAUGAUUUCGAAAUAUUUUUGAGGGUAUUAGAGCCCAACCAGAAUCUUUUCCUUGUUUUCUUCACUGGGUUUGAUUUAAGAUCGGUGGUUCUUAUGCAAUUAACCGAUAUCACUGUGAGUUUUAAGGGACUUAGGUGAUCAGAAGAGGAGAGAGACGAAGUAAGUCAGUGAACUGAUUUUUUUAUUUUUUAAUAUAUUACUUGAAGUUUUUUAAUACUAUUACUUUUGCGUUUUAUCUUUUUUCUUAUUUUUUUUCUAUUUCCCUCCUCUUUCCUUCCUCCCCUUGCUUAAAGGGACUUUUAUUUUGAAUCUGAGUCAUAAUGGUAGACAUGGGAGUUGAGUUGAGGAAGAUAAUGACAAGAAGCACAUCAUACUAAACACAAAUGAUGGUGGUUUGUAGUUAGGACACGUCAAUUCCAUUUUUUUCUGAAAUCAAAAGAGCAUUUUAGGGUAAAACUUUUGACCCCUUCGGAGCCAAAAUUCAGGCUCUGCCAACUACUACUAAUAUAUUGGUGUUAGUAUUGGGAGUUGAAAGAUGAACACGCGACAACAAAUGGCAUUCGGUGGAUAAAGUUCUCCUCGACCAAAAUGGUUACGAAAAAAAGAGUCCGGAUCCUUGCCGGAUUUUCUUUGUGAGGAUCUUGAGAAUCAUGAAUUGUGUCUAUUUAUCGUACAUCGUACGGUUAGAAAUCAUUUUAAAUAUUUUUAUUUAAAAACAAAUAUAAAAUGUACUUGAUAAAAACUGAUCGCAUAAUGUACAAUAAAUAAACAUGAUUUACGAAUCUGUAUGAUCUUCACCAAAAGAAUAUGAAGAGGAAGGAUCCUAUUGGACGAAAAAAAUAAAGUCUUGGCUCUCUGGGAGCAUGGGGAACAGCUAUGUCUGGGAAAACGCGGUCACAGUGCAAGAUUUCCAACCAAAGUAAUUUGGACAUAAAGCUGUUUGAACACAUAUACAUUUACAACGUUCGAUUGAAAUCCAUCGUUUUCAAUUCUACCUUUUAAAGGUAGUGUUAUUAUUAUUUUUUUCCAAAGAAAAGGGAACCGUUGGUGGCGAAAUCGCGACAGUCUAUCUUCCGAAAGCCGAAAAAAUUCACAAAAGCAUUUCAACUUCUUUCUGAUCAUAUUGUAUGAUUCACCAGCACCAAGAAGUUAUAACAAUCUGUAAUUUAAAGUAAUGUUUGCAACGCGGAAAACGUGCUUUCCCAUUGUUGAUCCCUUCCUGGCCAACCUUUUUUUGGUCAAGAAUCAAGAUUAGUUUUUUAUCCUUUCUACACAGUUUCG